rnacentral:rRNA from 1 species
GCCAGAGCCAUAUCUCCCUGCAGCUCUCGCCUGGUUUCCCACUGAAGCUAAGCAGGGUUGAGCCUGGCCAGUACCUGGAUGGGAGACCUCCAGGGUAAAACUAAGCUUGCUGCUGAAA